UACGUAGGGGGCAAGCGUUGUCCGGAUUUAUUGGGCGUAAAGAGCGUGUAGGCGGUUUGGUAGGUCCGCUGUGAAAACUCGAGGCUCAACCUCGAGCUGUCGGUGGAAACCGUGUGGCUAGAGUCCGGAAGAGGAGAGUGGAAUUCCCGGUGUAGCGGUGAAAUGCGCAGAUAUCGGGAAGAACACCCGUGGCGAAGGCGGCUCUCUGGGACGGUACUGACGCUGAGACGCGAAAGCGUGGGGAGCGAACAGG
rnacentral:rRNA from 1 species